rnacentral:tRNA from 1 species
AGUAAGGUCAGCUAAUUAAGCUAUCGGGCCCAUACCCCGAAAAUGUUGGUUCUUACCGGUCCCAUACUA